CUAUCAGGACGUCCUUCUCGGAGCUUUCGGGGCACACUGACGCCUCGGACCCUCCCGCCUUUGUUCCCCGCGGCACCACCACACCCAGGCGCACACCCUCCCUUCCCCCAGCCUCCAGGCAGGGGCGCCCUUCCUCCGGGCCCAGGGUUAGAAGCCAGGCGGGCCAGCGACACAGAGGGCCGUGCGGCUCAGAGGGCGACGCAGCGACGCGAACAGAACCGAAGGUGGUUGGAAAGAAACGCCGAGGAGCGCGGAGUCCCAUCUCUCCGCGUCGGCAGUUUGGCGACCGUUUGCGCGGGGGAUGCUGCCCCCUGCUGGCCGCACGCGAGGACGCAGCGCGGCUACCGCCCUGACUGCCCCGGUGACCUGGGAGGGGCUGAGCUGUCCGGCUGGCCACAGCCCCACCACCCCGCCUGGAGGGCUGGGGGACAGGACCCAGGCAUCAGAAGCCCUGAGUUCGAAUUCUGUCCCCCACACCCUCCAGUAGCAGUGCUGGCUGCCUCAGCCCUUCUCAUCUCUAAAAUGCUGUCAACUCUUCAAAAGUUCUAGAAGGAGAUGAGUAAGAAGAAAAAAGCAAGGGGUCUGUCAUAUCAAUAGUUCUGCUAUCCCUCCAGGGCCUACCUGCGCUUCCAAAGGCUUCCCUGGUCAGGUCUUCCUCGGGAGCCGCCAACUCCAGGGCAUGCGCCUGUGAAGCAGUGGUGGUUACUGACUGUGAGGGGCUGAAUACCGGCCCCUAAAGAUAUCCAGGUCCUAAUCCUUGGAACCUGUGAAUGUUACUUUAAAUGGCAAAAGGGCUUUUGCAAGUGUGAUUAAAUUAAGGGGGUUGAGAUGGGGAGAUAAUCCUGGAUUAUUCAGGUGAGUCUUAAAUGUAAUCACAAGCGUCCUUACAAGGAGAGAGAGGGAGAUUUUACUACAGAAGAGAAAGAAAACGGUAUUUACAAAGGAACAGGGAGGAGGGGGGGGGAUGUAAGAGGCUACUGCUUACUUUGAAGAUGGGUAAGGGGCCAGAGGCCAAAGAAUGCAGCUCUAAAAACUGGAAAAGGCAAGUAAAUGGAUGCUCCCCUGGAGGCUCUGUUGAUACCUUGAUUUUGACCCGGUGAAAUUGAUUUCAGACUUCUGAUUUCCAGAACUGUAAGAGAAUAAACGUGUGUUGUUUUAAACCAGGAGGUUUGUAAUAACUGGUUACAGCGGCUGUCAGAAACUAGCACACGGUCUUCUACUCUCAACUCUAGUGUUCGGCAGUUGAGAUAAGGCAGUUAAAAAAACAAAGACCCC
rnacentral:lncRNA from 1 species